rnacentral:lncRNA from 1 species
UCAGAGGAUGUGGCAUCUAAACUUACACCUGAAGGAUUAUCUGACUGGCCAGACAAAGGAACAGCGAGUGUCCUAGGCAAAGGGGUGGGGUUCCAGACACAGAGCACAGCAAGGAAGGCCUGGAGGCAAAAAAGAAGGGCCCAUUCCAGGCCCCUGUUGGUCCUAGUUCUCUCUGGCCACCAGAACUCAUCUGCUUCCUCCUCCCACGAGAAACUGGGGAGAGAUGGAGACAGCACCCAAAGCCUGCUCUUCUUUAAGCUGUUUCCUCUCAACUGGGCUUUCCAUCGUGCCAUUGCUGGGCUACCUUGGCUUGGCCAAGCCCCAUCUCCUAUUGUCGCAGUGUGAAUACCAGGGAAGAAGCAAACAGCCUGCAGAUGGGACACUUAUUCACCCCUGAUGCAAGUGUGACUGGAGCUAUUGAAUGACUGAUGAGAUCCGUUGUAACAAUCAUUCUGGCAAAGGUGUGGAGAUGGCUCAGAGGAUUGAGCUGGGAGCAGGGUGGCCUCAGCCACAUGUGCUACCAUGGCUCUGAGCAGGGAGACUGAGCUUGUUGAGGGAGGGACUGUGUCUGAUUCAGUUACAAUUACCAGAUGAGAAUGGCCAAUUAUGAGAGAAUUCAGAGUACAAUCAAGUCCAAUAAAUGCCAUAGUGAUGCUGAGGACAACUGCCAAGAGGGUCUAACAUCCCUGAAAGAGACAGCCUCUUGCCCUGGAAAGAUGCCAGAGAGGGAAGCAGGAGACUUGAGUUCUGAUCCGGAUCUCUCUGCCGUUGGGUGAUCCCCUGCCCUCCUCUGGACCUCAGUUUCCCCAUCUCUACAGUGAGGAUAAUAAUCCUAGUGCUAUUUCCCCAUAGAAAUGUUGUGAAGCUCAAAGGUGAGACCAAAAUCACUCAUUGGACAAACUCCAGGCAGGGUGGGAGUGUUGGCUGGGUAGAUGUGGUCAUCUGCCAAGUGGCCAUGCUGAGGCUUUGGGGGCUCUACUCCCACCACCAAUGGGGUCCUUCUCAGAGACUUGCACUCUCUUCUUCCAGCUCACUCAUAUUGUGGGGCUCAGAGAAUGUUAAUUAUUAGGGCCCAGCCCACAUGGAGGGCUUAAGAUGAAAGCAAGCUCAGAGUGUAAAGUCUAAUCAAUGCCCCACACUUGGCGUCAGGGCCUCGGCUUGGUCUGCUUGGAGAUGGAUCAUUAAUCUAGACACUCCGACUUGGAACACUGGGCACAGGAAGUCCUGAAACAUUCCUGACCACCCACAGCUCAGCCUGUCAGCCCCAUGGCCUUCUUGGAUCAUUCAACCAGCAGAUGAAGAAAAAGAGGGCGAAUGGAGAAUUAUAUGUCAGAGAAUUUUAUGGAUCUUACUGGAGGGUAAAUUCAAUCCUGGUAACUUAAUUGUGGGCAAAAGUGCAAAUCUCCUGGCAUCCAAUUCUUACCAUAGAUUUCUGAUGUCUGGAAGCAUGGUGGAGCAACACACUUCUGAAGGGACAGCAGGUGCUGUAGUGAAGUUUUCCACAAAAGAAGAAAAUGUUGUGCUCUUUGUCUACCUCACCAACUUCCCUUCAGCCCUUGGGGAGUGUAGAAGACCUCCAUGUUCAUCAGGGCUCCAUUUUAAGGAGAGAACAGAAGUUGGAGGAUAAGGUGGGAGUUCUGAUUGAUGUGGACCAGAUAAGGUGACAUCUGGCCAAAGAGGAAGCUGGGAGCCACAGACUGCUAAUAGGAUGAAGGGAGACACAGCUACCCCUCUGUGGGGUCAUCAGAGAUGGAGGGGGCUGGCAUAAAGAUGAACAUCUGCGUCCAAAACCAUAUAACUCCAUACACCACAUCAUCUAAUAGGAGACCAACAUAUUGUCAGAGGCCGCCAGCAACAGAGGGAAGCAGGUAAAGC